CCUACGGGAGGCAGCAGUGGGGAAUAUUGCACAAUGGGGGAAACCCUGAUGCAGCGACGCCGCGUGAGUGAAGAAGUAUCUCUGUACGUAAAGCUCUAUCAGCAGGGAAGAAACUGACGGUACCUGACUACUCAGCCCCAGCUACCUCCGUGCCAGCAGCCGCGGUCAUACGUAGGGGGCAAGCGUUAUCCGGAUUUACGUGGGGAAACGGGAGCGUAGACGGGAGCACAGGUCUGGAGGGAAAUCCCGGGGCUUAACCCCGGAACUUCUUUGGAAACUUGGCGGCUGGAGUGCAGGAGGGGUAAGCGGAAUUCCUAGGGUAGCGGUGAAAUGCGUAGAUAUUAGGAGGAAAACCGGUGGCGAAGGCGGCUUAAUGGACUGUAACUGACGUUGAGGCUCGAAAGCGUGGGGAGCAAACAGGAUUAGAUACCCCUGGUAGUC
rnacentral:rRNA from 1 species